rnacentral:rRNA from 1 species
UCUGGCGGCAGUAGCGCGGUGGUCCCACCUGACCCCAUGCCGAACUCAGAAGUGAAACGCCGUAGCGCCGAUGGUAGUGUGGGGAGGG